GCAACAAAGAAGAUAAAAUAUCCUGCAAUGAAGAAGCUGUAAUAAAAAGAUUGCAUGAAUGGGGAGCAGCAGAUCAAUACAGUAGAUUAAUUACGUUAGCGGAGUUGUAGUGAUGUGUGCAACAGAUUACCAUGGCGAUAGAAAACAAAAGCAAAUAGGAGAUAGAAGGAGUGGAGUGACACUUACAUAACAAACCAAGGACAAGACAUGAGGAAGCUACAGCGAGAGCCAGGAAGAAGGAGAAAAUAAAAUCGAUCUGAAGAAAUCUAGACAGGAGGUGGGAAAACAGGAGAUGAAGACAGAUAUCGGAAAUAUACAGAGGUCAGGGAAGCAGUGAGACGAGAAAGCAGAAAAAAAAAAGAGCGCCGCGUGGAUGGGGUGUUGCAGCAAAAGCUGAAGGAGAGAUUAUUUACUGACUCAUCAUGUUGUGAAAUAAACAUGAGGCAUAUUCAGAGGGAUUCUCUUCACUUUCUCCCUUAAUCCACCAACUCAAGUAGAACAUGACACCCCCCCACCCCCUCACCCUCACCACCAUCCUUCAUCUUCAUUUCCUCCAGGGAAGUGGUAAAUGGGACGUCCAUUUAAAAUGCACUGAAAUUUGUUUUUAUCUUCAGAUUUUUUUUAUGUAUUCCAUUUUAUAUUUGAAGUGUUGCAAUAUUUUCAGAUACUAAAUAAUGACUUGCUUUAUUGCUAUAAGCAUUUUGCAGCCCAUGGUAGUUUAAUGCAGUGCAACACGUGCUCUCAACACAAGAUGCCUUUUAUAUAAUACCAUGAAGGUUGAUGUUGCAAACAUUGAUGGCUUUAAGAAAAAUUACAAAUGUGUUCCACUGUUUUUUUUUUUUUUCUUGUUAUGUCUUUUGGUUUUAUUCAAGCUAAACAUUGUUUGCAACUUCAAGCUAGAAGUCCAAAAACAGUUCAGCAGUCCAAUUAUUGCGGUGUGUUCAUAAACAAUAUCAAAACUUUCAACAUUAUAACAGACAACAUACAUAUCUGUGAAACCUGGAAAAAAGCAAUCUGCAAAUUCAAGUUGAGCAUUAUGUGAUAUGUCUAUUUUAUGUAUAAUUACCUAAUUGCUUGAAAUAAACAAUUUAAUUCAUUUAUUCAUUCGAUCAAAUCUUUGUAUCCAUUCACAUUUUGUCUGAACAUUUAAAAAUCUGUUUUAAAUUUCUGAUAAUUGUCAGUAGGAACCUGAACCUGAGGAAUUUCUACUUGUAAACAUCUAUAGUAUCUUUUAUACAUAGUACAUAUUUUCUAUACGUGUACUUUGGGUUCAAGCCUAUGUCCCAGAUCUCCUGCUUAUUGCACUUAUUGUUAGACCCCAGGUCAAUUAGUUUAACCUUAUAAAAAAAAUAAAAAUAAAAAUAAAAUACAGAAAAUAUGAAAAGACAACCAGAGAAAGAAUAGUUUGCAUUUUUUCCUUUGUGGGUGCUGUUGACAAACUCUGUGUGUGGUGUUGGUAUCGUUUGCUGUGCUGAUUAGAUGUUGGUUGUGUCUGAAACCCCUCCCAGACCCCUAACUAUUAAAAAACUAUAAAGUGCGGGACUAUAUAGUGCCCUGGAUUUUAAAGGCAAUUCGGACACGAUGCUCACCAUUUUUCUUUUGUUUUUCUAAACGCUGGAUUUCACAAAGUUAAAAUAGAAUCAAUACAAACAUUUAUUUAUGACUUCAUUAUGUUCUGAGAUUGAAAAAGCUGAUGGUUUAUUAAUUUUUUUUAAAUUUAAACUUGUUUUUUGUCCAAAAUUAUUCGACUGCAAUGCAUUGUGGGCUAUAUUCGCUAAUCUAGUGAGCAUCGAUGCGCGCUAGUUUUUCGCAAAGACUUCUGGAAAAUUUCUAGUGCACUCGAUUUUGUAAUUAGUAGAUUUGGACAGCACUAGAAAAUGCCAGACGCACUAUACUGCACUAAAAAGUGAGUAGGGGGGACUCCGGACAUAUGCGUUGUGUUUUCCCAUGUUAUGCUAAUUGGUGGAUUUGCUCAGGAUGUGCCUGUGUCGCUGCUACUAAGAGAUUUAAAAGAUUAAAUUAGGCAAAAUUAUGUCAGCAGCUGACCUUUGACAAGAACUCUGAACUGACCUGCCUCUCAACUCUAGCAAUUGUACAAUUUAUUAUCUCUGUGUGUUUUUUUAAUCUUUAAAAAUCUUCAAGAAAUUGUAUGAUUUAUCAAACAUGUUUCUUUGUGUUAUAAUGCAAAUAUUUACACAUCAGAUAUAAAAAAAAAUAAAUAAAAUAAAA